GGCCAAUUAAAUUAAGAUCUCAAUUUAUCUUAGAAUCGUCCACCCAUUGAGGUUGACAAGAGUUUUAAUUUUUAAAAACUUUGCAAAAGUGGUGAAUGGCCUUCACAAAAUAGCGGACUGGUUUUAUAUAACACCUCGACUUACACCAUUAAGUCUUUGUGCAACUACUAAAUUUCAGCUUUAUAGAUCCUUCUCCGUUAAAUAUUUUUAUUAAGAACCAUAUCUAACCUUAUUCAAAGCUUCUAAUAAUUAAUGUUUAUAUUUUUGAGACAGGUUAGCUAUCCAAUAUUAACCCUCCAACUUUCUCAUCUUGACUUGAAAUCAUGCAUGCGCUAUAAUAGAUCCAAGAUUUAGAACCGUGAUCUUAGCAUAUUUUCAAGGAUAUACGGAAUUCCUCACUUUAGCUGGUUAACUCUUUCGCAAACCAUUAAUUUUGAGAAGGCAAUAACCAGUUGAUUGGGGUAUAAAACAAAGCAUCUAUAGUAAUCUAUAGUAUUGCCCCUGACCAUUUCCGUUGCCAACUAGGGGAUUUAAAUUGCU
rnacentral:lncRNA from 1 species